rnacentral:rRNA from 1 species
CCUACGGGAGGCAGCAGUGGGGGAUAUUGCACAAUGGGGGGAACCCUGAUGCAGCGACGCCGCGUGGGUGAAGAAGCGCCUCGGCGCGUAAAGCCCUGUCAGCAGGGAAGAAAAUGACGGUACUUGAAGAAGAAGCCCCGGCUAACUACGUGCCAGCAGCCGCGGUAAUACGUAGGGGGCAAGCGUUAUCCGGAUUUACUGGGUGUAAAGGGGGUGCAGGCGGCGAUGCAAGCCAGGAGUGAAAGCCCGGGGCGCAACCCCGGGACUGCUUUUGAAACUGCAGGGCUGGAGUGCAGGAGGGGCAGGCGGAAUUCCUGGUGUAGCGGUGAAAUGCGUAGAUAUCAGGAGGAACACCGGUGGCGAAGGCGGCCUGCUGGACUGUAACUGACGUUGAGGCCCGAAAGCGUGGGGAGCAAACAGGAUUAGAUACCCCGGUAGUC